GAUGAACGCUAGCGGCAGGCUUAACACAUGCAAGUCGAGGGGCAGCAUAGGUGUAGCAAUACAUUUGAUGGCGACCGGCGCACGGGUGCGUAACGCGUAUGCAACCUACCUAUAACAGGGGGAUAAUCCGAAGAAAUUUGGUCUAAUACCCCAUAAUAUCUGAGAAGGCAUCUUUUCAGGUUGAAAGCUCCGACGGUUAUAGAUGGGCAUGCGUUGUAUUAGGUAGUUGGUGAGGUAACGGCUCACCAAGCCGACGAUCGGUAGCCGACCUGAGAGGGUGAUCGGCCACAUUGGGACUGAGACACGGCCCAAACUCCUACGGGAGGCAGCAGUGAGGAAUAUUGGUCAAUGGGCGAAAGCCUGAACCAGCCAAGUCGCGUGAAGGAUGAAGGUUCUAUGGAUUGUAAACUUCUUUGUCUGAGGGUAAAAAGCGGACGUGUCGUUCUUGCAAGUAUCAGACGAAUAAGCAUCGGCUAACUCCGUGCCAGCAG
rnacentral:rRNA from 1 species